UCCGCCCUUAGGCGCUGAGUAGAGGUGAACAGUAUCUCUUCACGGAGUGAAGUGAAAUGGCUGCUUGUCAUGCAUGUCAAUCGCAGUUCUAAAGUCAAGAAAGUAAGUGAGAAAUACUAUAUUAAUUAUUGAAAUGCAUAGUUUGAAACAUCGUUAACAGGAAAGUGUUAUUUAAAUAGUUCUAAUCGCGUUUAUAUUGACUCUAAGGAUUAAAUGAGAAGUUGAGCUGAUUCAUCUGACGAAAACGGCAUAAAACAGAUUUCCUUGAUACAUCGAGAUUAUUUCUGAUCGUUAUCAAUUUAUUCUUGGACUCUGCUAACUUCUACUUACCAGUAUCCAGCGUGGUGACUCCUAGUGUCUCCUCAUCUCCUGUGAGUGUCAUCGUGUCUCGUCUGCUCCAUGCCUGCCUGCUUCCACGAUCCCUGGGAAAGAUAAAGACAAGUAUCAGAUCCAGUAUCAUCUUCAGUCACAAACUUAACCUGCUUCUACUCACCUGCACUCUGCCAUCGAUCUUUUGUUGUUCAAUAAACUGCAUAUUAACUAUA